rnacentral:lncRNA from 1 species
CUGCUCCGCCCCGGGGUCCUCUCCUCCCGCCCGCCGGGCCCGCCGCUCCGCUGGAAGGACGGACGGACGGUUUCCAGCCGCCCGCCGCCGAGGCUUCCCGGGAAAAGCCUCUCCCUGUUGGCGGGACUCGGCCUGGGCGGGCGGGGGCAUCCGUCCCCGCGUUGGCGGGAAAGUCCGGCGGGCACGGCCCGGGCGCAGGACACCCCCCGACCGUCCCUCCCGUCCGGUCCCCACGGACACCGACCUCCCUCCCUUCUGGCCGCUGCCACUGAUCGAUGGAACCACCCGGAGCUGCGAGGGAGUCGACGCGUGGUAAUACCGAUCAAUCGAUAAUAAUGUUGGUAUUUGUUAAGCGCUCACUAUGUGCAGAGCACUGAGAGUCACCGGGCGCUUACCGGUCAACCCAAGACCGGCCUCGGUCCAAUCACCAAAACAGCACCUGGGAGCCAGGUCGGAGGCAUAGGUCAUCGGGGUCGUGGUUCAUCCCGGACCUCGGCCGCUCUCUGGUCCCUGCUAGGGAAGCUUUGGUUUUCCAGGGGAAAACUUUCCCCUUUUGCUUGGAAGCCGUUCCAAGCGGGACCAUGUCAGGAUGCCUGACGGGCGCUUCCAUUGUCCAGGGUGAACGGGAGAGAUCCAGAAGCUCUACUCUAGGAUUUACAUAGAAUGGG